rnacentral:tRNA from 1 species
GUUUUAAUAGUUUAAUAAAAACAUUGGUCUUGUAAACCAAAAAUAAGACCCUAUCUUUUAAAACU